UAAUACAGAGGCCUCAAGCGUUAAUCGGAAUCACUGGGCUUAAAGCGUGCGUAGGCGGACAUGCAAGCAUGUUGUGAAAUCCCAUGGCUCAACCAUGGAACUGCUUCGUGAACUGCAUGUCUUGAGACAAGUAGGGGUGGUCGGAACGAUAGGUGGAGCGGUGAAAUGCGUAGAUAUCUAUCGGAACACCGAAGGAGAAGUCAGGCCACUGGGCUUGUUCUGACGCUGAGGCACGAAAGCGUGGGGAGCAAACGGGAUUAGAUACCCCGGUAGUCCACGCUGUAAACGAUGCGCACUAGAUCGAGGAGGUUUGACACCCCCUUGGUCGAAGCAAAAGUGUUAAGUGCGCCGCCUGGGGAGUACGGUCGCAAGGCUA
rnacentral:rRNA from 1 species